GUGUUCUUGCUCAGGCAUCAUAUGUGCCCAAAGUAGAAUGGUCAGGGAAUGUUAAUAUGGCCCCUGCUCAUGGAUGACAUGCGAGUUUAUGAAGCAUUCCAUACUUUU
ensembl:snRNA Gm24846 predicted gene, 24846